UACGAAGGGGGCUAGCGUUGUUCGGAUUUACUGGGCGUAAAGCGCACGUAGGCGGAUCUUUAAGUCAGGGGUGAAAUCCCGGGGCUCAACCUCGGAACUGCCUUUGAUACUGGGGAUCUCGAGUCCGGGAGAGGUGAGCGGAACUGCGAGUGUAGAGGUGAAAUUCGUAGAUAUUCGCAAGAACACCAGUGGCGAAGGCGGCUCACUGGCCCGGUACUGACGCUGAGGUGCGAAAGCGUGGGGAGCAAACAGGG
rnacentral:rRNA from 1 species